CCUACGGGUGGCAGCAGUGAGGAAUAUUGGUCAAUGGACGAGAGUCUGAACCAGCCAAGUAGCGUGAAGGAUGACUGCCCUAUGGGUUGUAAACUUCUUUUAUAUGGGAAUAAAAUGUUCCACGUGUGGGAUUUUGUAUGUACCAUAUGAAUAAGGAUCGGCUAACUCCGUGCCAGCAGCCGCGGUAAUACGGAGGAUCCGAGCGUUAUCCGGAUUUAUUGGGUUUAAAGGGAGCGUAGGUGGAUUGUUAAGUCAGGUGUGAAAGUUUGCGGCGCAACCGUAAAAUUGCAGUUGAAACUGGCAGUCUUGAGUACAGUAGGGGUGGGCGGAAUUCGUGGUGUAGCGGUGAAAUGCUUAGAUAUCACGAAGAACUCCGAUUGCGAAGGCAGUUCACUGGACUGCAACUGACACUGAGGCUCGAAAGUGUGGGUAUCAAACGGGAUUAGAUACCCGGGUAGUC
rnacentral:rRNA from 1 species